ensembl:lncRNA
UCUGGGAAGCCAGCAGCUGUAAGCAGCAGAGACAGGCAUGAGACGGUGGCUUCAGAAAACUGUAAAUCUGGUUGUAGGGCAGCUGGUAUUGAGUUAAUAAUGCUGCAGCCCUUAAACACAAGAUGCUGGAUUGGUAUAAAAUCAUUCUGAUGUAAGCAAGGUGGUCUGUCCAGUUUUCAUAGCCACAGCUCUGUGUUGGUUACAGCUGCAAAGAAAGAAAACCUAAACCUGCCACUUGAACAUGCAGGACAGACCAAGACAACCUGAGAGGACAUGCUCUAAUAUUUCUGCCUAUUUUCAAGUGAAAGUGUUCAUCUCAUGCAGUUCUGGAACUACCAAGGCAGAUGAGGAAAAGAAACUGAAGACAGUGAGAUGAAGGAGGGAUUAUUCUUCUUUAACCAGGUUGUAACAUAAAAAUUCAGGAACUUUUUGGUAAUUCCAUGGUCACAGGAACCACGCG